UAACAGCUCACUAGUCGAGGGUCCGGGCGGGGAUAAUAAUCGGGUAUAAGGCAGAUACCGAAGACGCGGGAUAGCAAUAAUAAAAGUAUCGGUAGGGGAGCAUUCCAUUAGCGUUGAAUGUGACGGGUAACUGUUUCUGGAGCUUAUGGAAAAGCAAAUGUAGGUAUAAGUAACGAUAAGAGGGGUAAGAUUCCCCUCCGCCGUAAGUCUAAGGUUUCCCGGGCAAUGCCAAUCAUCCCGGGGUUAGUCGGGUCCUAAGUCUCAGCCGAAGGGCGUAGGCGAUGGCCAGAAACGGUUAAUAUUCCGUUACUGCCCCAUAGGGCGACGUGGAGACGGAGCAGUGACACUGCCGCGGGGUGACGGAAGUCCCCGUUGAAGGGUGUACGUGUUGAUAGGUCCAGGCAAAUCCAGACCUUGAGCGGAACCUGAUAGUAUGUAUUUAUCCUCGGAUAUUUGCAAUAGUGCUGGUAAUCAGACUCCCGAGAAAAUCCGCUAAGCAUCACUUAUGGGGCACCCGUACCGCAAUCCGACACAGGUAGACGGGUAGAACAUACUAAGGCGUUGAGAGAUUCAUGGUUAAGGAACUAGGCAAAUUGACCCCGUAAC
rnacentral:rRNA from 1 species